rnacentral:rRNA from 1 species
ACGGGUGAGUAACGCGUGGGAACAUACCCUUAUCUUCGGAACAACUCCGGGAAACUGGAGCUAAUACCGAAUGUGCCCUUAGGGGGAAAGAUUUAUCGGAUAAGGAUUGGCCCGCGUUGGAUUAGCUAGUUGGUGGGGUAAAGGCCUACCAAGGCGACGAUCCAUAGCUGGUCUGAGAGGAUGAUCAGCCACAUUGGGACUGAGACACGGCCCAAACUCCUACGGGAGGCAGCAGUGGGGAAUAUUGGACAAUGGGCGCAAGCCUGAUCCAGCCAUGCCGCGUGAGUGAUGAAGGCCUUAGGGUUGUAAAGCUCUUUCACCGGAGAAGAUAAUGACGGUAUCCGGAGAAGAAGCCCCGGCUAACUUCGUGCCAGCAGCCGCGGUAAUACGAAGGGGGCUAGCGUUGUUCGGAAUUACUGGGCGUAAAGCGCACGUAGGCGGACAUUUAAGUCAGGGGUGAAAUCCCGGGGCUCAACCUCGGAACUGCCUUUGAUACUGGGUGUCUUGAGUGUGGAAGAGGUCAGUGGAAUUGCGAGUGUAGAGGUGAAAUUCGUAGA